AUACCAUCUGUAGGACUUGAUUGACCAAAUUGUCACGAGUUAUACCAUCUGUAGGGCUUGAUUGACCAAAUUGUCUCGAGUUAUACCAUCUGUAGGACUUGCCAAACUAAAUUGAAUCUUUCAUUCCUUGUGCCUACUACAGGAAGUCAUCUUAUUCCAUUCUGCAAAAUAGGUGACAUUUCAUCUAAAUGGAUUAAGUUAUUGGGAUUCCACGUUACCAUGGCAAGGGUGUAGCUAAGGAUCUGACUGGUCUAGUGUUGGUCAGAGUGGUAAAGAGAUUUUAUCUAUUUGGCUGUGAUCUGGUGAAUCCGAUCUAUAAUUGACAUAGUGCUAUAUAUAAAUACUGGACUUACACAACCUGAUUAGGAUAAAAAAAAAACGACUCCCGAAUUAAUUUUGGUUAGAUCUGUACUUUUAAUUGUUAUUGAGAGAAAGCCUUAUUUCUUAAAAAGAAAGAUUGUUGCAAAUGAAUGCUGUUAAGAAAAAGAUAUUAAAUAAAAUGAUUUUUUUCUCAGCCAUAUUAUAUUGACUUCCACAGUGUUUGUCAUGUGUAUUUUUCCCUUUGCAGUACAUAUACGUCACAAUUUAUCUUUCAGAAGGCAAAUUCAACACAACAGUGAACUUUUUCAGAUAGCACACAUGUGCUGGACAUCAGAUUUUAAUGAAGUAACACAUUGAUGAAUUAGUGCAUGAUUUAGUCACAAUGGUUGAAAUUCAGAAAUUGCUGAAAUAUGUAUUUAUUUUUACCGUAAACCCAACCAAUUGUCAUCUGUGUAUGGGUUCUUAUAUAUUAGUUUGGUUUUUUAAAAAAAAGGGGGGGGGGGGGGGGAUAGUGGCUACUAGAAAAGGAAAUUAGAAUUGUGCCAAGGACAACUAUCGUCUAUUUUUCAUGAAGGGAUAGUCUAGAAUUUGUUAAGAAAACCCUUAGAAAUCACUGGUAUUUGUCAGGUAACCACCCUUAGAAAUCACUGGUAUUUGUCAGAUAACAACCCUUAGAAAUCACUGGUAUUUGUCAGGUAACCAUCCUUGGAAAUCACUGGUUUUUGUCAGAUAACCACCCUUAGAAAUAACUAGUAUUUGUUAUACUGUCGGAGGGGUGAAUUAUUGUAUGAUGUUGUCUGGCUUAAACUUUGUAUGUUUGGAAAUCUCAAUGUUUUUUCAAUAUCUGUAUUCUAAUAAAAAUGCAAUUUUGUAUGUUAUUCUAGAUAUUUCUUUAAACAUUUACACUAUUUUUGUAUGGGGGAUUUCUUUCAUUUUCAGACUAAAAAUAAUUGCUGCCAAUAAAUUCAAUGCAUUUAUGUCACUAGCCAUUGAUAUAUUCUAACCGCCUUUUGUCCGUCGGCCGUCCGUAAACAAUUUAUAUUUUCGACUUCCUUCUCCAAAACCGCUGAACCAAAUUCAAUGAAAUUUGAUAGGAAGCGUCCAUGGUCUAAGGUCAACCAAAACUGUGAAUGAUAUGGUCCCAACCCCCUAGGGGCCAGGAGACAGGGCCAAAAAGUGUCAAAUUAACUAAAAAUUUAAUAAUCUUGAUCUUGAAAAGCUCUUAAGGUCCUAUACCAACAUUGUGAAUUUCAUCACCCUGGGGUCUCGCGUCUCCCCCUGGGGAGGGGGUAACAUUUAUUAUAGUUUAUAUAGAGAAAUCACAUUUUUGAGAAUUAUUUGUGCCAAUUGCCAUUGGAAUUAAUACAAACUUGGUAGAAAUAUCAGUAUGGGAUGCCUGUUGUACAAACUACAUGUAUAUUGGCACUGACUGACCCCAAGAGGCUUAUGAGCAGGGUGAAAACGGUCAAAAUAAUUGAAAUUUCAAGAAACUUUUUCAAGAUCUAAAUAAGGCAGAAUCAAAUACUCUUCAUAGAUGAAAAGGUCUUAAGGUGCCUUACCAAAAGUGUGAAUUUCAUGACCCUUGGGUCACAAAAUUGCCCUGGAGAGGGGGUAAUUUUUACUCUAGUUUAUAUUGAGAAAUCACAUUUGACUAUCAUUUGUUUGAUUUCUAUUUGAAUUCAUUUUAACUUUGUUAACAUUAUCAGCAUUGGAUGACAGCUUAAUGGUAUGCUCAUGUUGGCCCUGACUGACCUGGGGCUGAUGGGCGGGGCCAAAAACGGUCAAUUGAAUUAACAUAGAUAUUUCAAAACUCAGGUGACCAUUAAGACCCAUGGGCCUCUUGUUUUGUUAUUUAUAACUGUGUAGUUCAAUGUUGGAAAACAUUUGUAAUAAUCCCACAGUAUUGGUCAUUUUUAUGACUUAAAAAAACCUGGACAAAAUUGGUCAACAAGCAUUUCCUAGAGAAUAUGCCUUAUGUUACAGAUUGUGACUUGACUGUUAGCUACUAGAGUAUUGAGUCACUGAUGUAGACCUAAUAAAGAUUGAUUUGGAGUCUUGGAA